rnacentral:rRNA from 1 species
GCCGCAUGGUAGAGCCAUAAAAGCUGAGGCGGUAAAGGAUGGGCAUGCGUGACAUUAGCUAGUUGGGGGGGUAACGGCCCACCAAGGCUACGAUGUCUAGGGGUUCUGAGAGGAAGGUCCCCCACACUGGUACUGAGACACGGACCAGACUCCUACGGGAGGCAGCAGUGAGGAAUAUUGGUCAAUGGGCGCGAGCCUGAACCAGCCAUCCCGCGUGCAGGAAGACGGCCCUAUGGGUUGUAAACUGCUUUUGUGCAGGAAGAACGUCCCCUUCGUGAAGGGGAGUGACGGUACUGCAUGAAUAAGCACCGGCUAACUCCGUGCCAGCAGCCGCGGUAAUACGGAGGGUGCAAGCGUUAUCCGGAUUUAUUGGGUUUAAAGGGUGCGUAUGGCGGUACUUUAAGUCAGUGGUGAAAAGCUGCAGCUCAA